rnacentral:misc_RNA from 1 species
GAUGAAGAACGUAGCGAAAUGCGAUAAGUAAUGUGAAUUGCAGAAUUCAGUGAAUCAUCGAAUCUUUGAACGCACAUUGCGCCCGCCAGUAUUCUGGCGGGCAUGCCUGUUCGAGCGUCAUUACAACCCUCAGGCCCCCGGGCCUGGCGUUGGGGAUCGGCAGAAGCCCCCUGUGGGCACACGCCGUCCCUCAAAUACAGUGGCGGUCCCGCCGCAGCUUCCAUUGCGUAGUAGCUAACACCUCGCAACUGGAGAGCGGCGCGGCCAUGCCGUAAAACACCCAACUUCUGAAUGUUGACCUCGGAUCAGGUAGGAAUACCCGCUGAACUUAAGCAUAUCAAUAAGCGGAGGA